UAGGGAACCAGGCCCUAACAGAAGUCCAAUA
rnacentral:piRNA from 1 species